UACGUAGGGGGCAAGCGUUGUCCGGAAUCAUUGGGCGUAAAGAGCGUGUAGGCGGCCAUAUAAGUCCGCUGUGAAAUCUCGAGGCUCAACUUCGAGCUGUCGGUGGAAACUGUCUGGCUAGAGUCCGGAAGAGGAGAAUGGAAUUCCUGGUGUAGCGGUGAAAUGCGCAGAUAUCAGGAAGAACACCCGUGGCGAAGGCGGCUCUCUGGGACGGUACUGACGCUGAGACGCGAAAGCGUGGGGAGCGAACAGG
rnacentral:rRNA from 1 species